CAGAGAAGGAAAGUGGCAAAGCGUGGGACUGUCACAGGCCCCAGGACUCCCUCCCUCAGGGGGUCCCCUGGGGAAGCAGAUCAGCACUAAUAAAGCUUUAAAAUUCAGUCACUUGGCGUGCUCCUUCAUCUCCUCACCGAGAGAUUCUGCGGCCUCAGCCUGAUCACCUGACACCCCAGGUAGAUUGGUCACAGGUAUUUGUCACAGGACAUCCCCCUACGUCGGAGAGAAACACCGGACAGCUAAAGAAGAGCGAGGCUGGUGGAACAGAAGCUAGAGGAGAGGCAGGGAAGGUCCUGGAGGAGAGUCAGAUCCAACCUGGUGAGUG